UUUGAGUCUGGGUCAGGACUGGGGGAAUGUCUGGUGGUAUGUGUGGAGGUGGAUGAUUUCCUAACCCAGGUUCCCUCGACCUUCCGAAACCCCAUCCUGUGUAGGGUUCCCGGACGCAUGCGAUCUGUCCAUCGCAAUGCGCGAGAGGGUUCCCCCUCAGGAAUGGGAAUCUCGGCCUCCCUAAACAGAAGAGUAAACAUCAUGCCAUAGGGGAGGGUGAGCCU
rnacentral:lncRNA from 1 species